rnacentral:tRNA from 1 species
CGCACAGCUGUGAGCUCGUCGGGCUCAUAACCCGAAGGUCGUCAGUUCGAGUCUGGCCCCCGCAA